UACGUAGGGUGCAAGCGUUAAUCGGAAUUACUGGGCGUAAAGCGUGCGCAGGCGGUUAUGUAAGACAGUUGUGAAAUCCCCGGGCUCAACCUGGGAACUGCAUCUGUGACUGCAUAGCUAGAGUACGGUAGAGGGGGAUGGAAUUCCGCGUGUAGCAGUGAAAUGCGUAGAUAUGCGGAGGAACACCGAUGGCGAAGGCAAUCCCCUGGACCUGUACUGACGCUCAUGCACAAAAGCGUGGGGAGCAAACAGG
rnacentral:rRNA from 1 species